CCGCCGCGACCGGCGCACGGGUGAGUAACACGUAUGCAACCUGGCCGUGACAGAUGGAUAACCGGGAGAAAUCCCGCCUAAUACAGCAUGACGCCGGGAAGGGACAUCCCUUUCCGGCCAAAGGGGGCGACUCCGGUCACGGAUGGGCAUGCGGCGCAUUAGGUAGUUGGUGGGGCAACGGCCCACCAAGCCGACGAUGCGUAGGGGUUCUGAGAGGAAGGUCCCCCACAUUGGAACUGAGACACGGUCCAAACUCCUACGGAAGGCAGCAG
rnacentral:rRNA from 1 species